AACGUAGGAGGCGAGCGUUAUCCGGAUUUACUGGGCGUAAAGAGCGCGCAGGCGGUCGUUCAAGUCGCGUGUGAAAGCCCCCCGGCUCAACUGGGGAGGGUCACGCGAUACUGAUCGACUCGAAGGCAGGAGAGGGUAGUGGAAUUCCCGGUGUAGUGGUGAAAUGCGUAGAUAUCGGGAGGAACACCAGUGGCGAAGGCGACUACCUGGCCUGUUCUUGACGCUGAGGCGCGAAAGCUAGGGGAGCAAACGGG
rnacentral:rRNA from 1 species